rnacentral:rRNA from 1 species
CCUACGGGUGGCAGCAGUGGGGAAUAUUGCACAAUGGGGGAAACCCUGAUGCAGCGACGCCGCGUGAGCGAUGAAGGUCUUCGGAUCGUAAAGUUCUGUUGAAGGGGAAAAAGAGCGGAGAGAGGAAAUGCUUUCUGAUUGAUAUUACCCUUCGAGGAAGUCACGGCUAACUACGUGCCAGCAGCCGCGGUAAUACGUAGGUGGCGAGCGUUAUCCGGAAUGAUUGGGCGUAAAGGGUGCGUAGGCGGCCUGCUAAGUCUGGAGUGAAAGGUACCGGCUCAACCGGUACAGGCUCUGGAAACUGGCGGGCUAGAGAGCAGGAGAGGGCGGUGGAACUCCAUGUGUAGCGGUAAAAUGCGUAGAUAUAUGGAAGAACAUCAGUGGCGAAGGCGGCCGCCUGGCCUGUUAACUGACGCUGAGGCACGAAAGCGUGGGGAGCAAAUAGGAUUAGAUACCCUGGUAGUC